ACUCCUACGGGGUGGCAGCAGUAGGGAAUCUUCCACAAUGGGCGCAAGCCUGAUGGAGCAACACCGCGUGAGUGAAGAAGGGUUUCGGCUCGUAAAGCUCUGUUGUUAAAGAAGAACACGUAUGAGAGUAACUGUUCAUACGUUGACGGUAUUAACCAGAAAGUCACGGCUAACUACGUGCCAGCAGCCGCGGUAAUACGUAGGUGGCAAGCGUUAUCCGGAUUUAUUGGGCGUAAAGAGAGUGCAGGCGGUUUUUCUAAGUCUGAUGUGAAAGCCUUCGGCUUAAACCGGAGAAGUGCAUCGGAAACUGGAUAACUUGAGUGCAGAAGAGGGUAGUGGAACUCCAUGUGUAGCGGUGGAAUGCGUAGAUAUAUGG
rnacentral:rRNA from 1 species